rnacentral:lncRNA from 13 species
CUUGACUAGUGUCCCAUUUAUGGCAAGUUGGCUCUCAGCCUUCCAGGGAAUAGGAGCUGUUGGACCAACUCAUUCUUGCUAAUGAUGCCAAUGGGUCAUUGUGCCAUUUCCUACUACCACCAGAGGGGCCUUUUUGAAAUUGCCUUCUGAAAACAAAACAUCUUACCCAAAAGAAAGGAUUGCCCAACCUGGGCCAAGAAAAAAAAAUGCCGAGAACCCUCCAAUGUACACUUUCUUAGAAUCCGUGGAUCUUGAGUUUAGAAGUUGAAGAAGGAACUUCCCAUCUAAAAUGGGGAUUGUCUCUGUAACAUCCCCACCAUGUGGUCAUCUUGUCUAUUGCCAGAGCAUCUCUGAGGCACCUCACUGCCUCUGAAGGCUGGUUUUCCCAUUCGAAGUUGCUCGGGAUAUUAGAACAUUCUCCUCUAGGCAAGAUUCAUCUUGACAUUUGUCUUCCCUCUCCACGUGGAGUCAGAGAACGUCUUGUUCUAUUUCUUUCAGAUAUUUGAAAGAUAUUUCAGAGCUCAAACGUUUUUAAAAUCACACUGCUACAAUAACUGAAGAACAUUUUGCUAUGGUGAGGGUUACAUAAUGAUGGCAUGAUUUGCCAAGCAGAGAAUGACUGUGUGUUGAUGUCAUAGUGACACAAAGUUCAGGAUAUAGACAAGGUGGUACAAGCCGUAACAGAUCAUCUCAGGGAAAUCACAGAGACCUUGUUGGUGACGUGAGUUUUUUUGUUUGUCUUUUUUUUUUUUUUUUGCUUUUUGAGCAUCAGGGUGAUAACUAACGUUUUAAGUGUUUGUGACUGUGCAAAUAUCACGUGUUAUAUAUUUGUCUAUUUCAUACAGUGGGCAGGAUGGAGAGACCAAGAGAAGAUGACCAGAAGUCGGGGCUGUACCAUGUCUUUUUUCUGUUUUUGAAAUAGUAUGUGGUCAAGAUGUCUAAACUCCUCAAUUAUCAUAAAUUCCAAGUCUCCAUUCUCCUACUGGCAGUUUCUGGGAUCACCUCCACAACAAACUACUUGUACUUGAAUCAUCAUCUCAAGGUCUGUUUCUGGGAAAACGGAAACUAAGACAUGGCGGCUAUCUCUCUUUGCAGAGACUAUUCUGAGACACGCCACUCCCUCCUAAGCGGAGGUCUUAGAUACAAGAAGGAAGUAUUAACAGGUUUGGGCAUCAUUUUCUGAGAGGGUUCAAAAGAAGCAGGUUGGGAGCAGAUGUCUUUGAAGGAUCCAGUCAUUAUGGAAUAAAUAUCUUUUUUAUUCAGGUUGCUGCA